rnacentral:rRNA from 1 species
GUCUGUGAUGCCCUUAGAUGUCCUGGGCCGCACGCGCGCUACACUGAUGAAGUCAGCGAGUUUAUAACCUUGGCCGGAAGGUCUGGGUAAUCUUUUGAAACUUCAUCGUGCUGGGGAUAGAGCAUUGCAAUUAUUGCUCUUCAACGAGGAAUUCCUAGUAAGCGUGAGUCAUCAGCUCGCGUUGAUUACGUCCCUGCCCUUUGUACACACCGCCCGUCGCUACUACCGAUUGAAUGGCUUAGUGAGUCCUUCGGAUUGGCAUCCGGCAGCUGGCAACAGCAGCUGGAUGCUGAGAAGUUGGGCAAAUUUGGUCAUUUAGAGGAAGUAAAAGUCGUAACAAGGUUUCCGUAGGUGAACCUGCGGAAGGAUCAUUAAUGAAUCAGUAAUACCGGCAUAUGCCACUUUCAGUGGUGUCGGUCUAUCUCUGACCAUUCACUGUGUGCACACAUCGAAAUCAUGCUUUGGCAGACUCUCCCCUUGGCCUUCGUGGUUGGGGGGGCGCUGGGUGUUCGGGCCCGAGGUCUGCCGAAGGUAUCUUUAUUCAACCAUAGCCUGAUCGCUUGUCUGAAUCAUAUAACAAUAAACCAAUACAACUUUCAACAACGGAUCUCUUGGCUCUCGCAUCGAUGAAGAACGCAGCGAAAUGCGAUACGUAAUGUGAAUUGCAGAAUUCAGUGAAUCAUCGAAUCUUUGAACGCAUAUUGCACUCUCUGGUAUUCCGGAGAGUAUGCCUGUUUCAGCAUCAGAAGUACCCUCGAACCCUCUCGCUUGCGGGAUGGGAAUCGGAUCUGGGCCUUGCAGGCUCGCCGCCCUCCGGGGUUGCGUGGUGUGCUGGCCUGAAAUUCAACCGUGGCAGGAUCCAGAUCCACCCGGGCUUCAAGGCGUCAUAGUUGGCCCAUGGUCAUCUUUCGCCGAACUCUAGCCAAGGCUGGGACUGACCGCGCGUCGUGAUCGCUUGCGCUCGCGACACCCAAACCUUUUAAAACUUGAUCUGAAAUCAGGCAGGACUACCCGCUGAACUUAAGCAUAUCAAUAAGCGGAGGAAAAGAAACUAACAAGGAUUCCCCUAGUAACGGCGAGUGAAGCGGGAAGAGCUCAAAUUUGAAAUCUGGCGUCUUCGACGUCCGAGUUGUAAGCUAUAGAGGCGUUUUCGGCGGGCGCCUGGGUAUAAGUCCUUUGGAACAGGGCAUCAUGGAGGGUGAGAAUCCCGUCUUUGACCCAGAGCAGCCUGCUAUGUGAUACGCUCUCAAAGAGUCGGUUUGUUUGGGAAUGCAGACCAAAAUGGGUGGUAAAUUCCAUCUAAAGCUAAAUAUAGGCGAGAGACCGAUAGCGAACAAGUACCGUGAGGGAAAGAUGAAAAGAACUUUGAAAAGAGAGUUAAACAGUACGUGAAAUUGUUGAAAGGGAAACGUUUGGAAUCAGUCUUGUGUGCGGGAAAUCAGCCUGGCCUCGGCCUGGUGCACUUUCCCGUACACAGGUCAGCGUCGGUUUUGGUUGCCAGAAAAUGGCCCAGGGAAUGUGGCUCUUCGGAGUGUUAUAGCCCUGGGUCGAUGUGGUGACCGGGACCGAGGCCCGCAGCCAGCCGGUUCACCGGCGGGGGGCUCAGGCGCUGGUCGUAGCCUCGGCGUGGACAGCUUGCUGACCACGACGAGACCUUGCGGCCACUCGCUUGACGUCUCUCCUCCUGGCUUAGG